CCCUUAGAUGUUCUGGGUCGCACGCGCGCUACAAUGAUGAAUUCAACGAGUUUAUAACCUUGGUUGAAAAGCCUGGGUAAUCUUUUGAACUUUCGUCGUGAUGGGGCUAGACCCUUGCAAUUAUUGGUCUCCAACGAGGAAUUCCUAGUAAACGCAAGUCAUCAGCUUGCAUUGAUUACGUCCCUGCCCUUUGUACACACCGCCCGUCGCACCUACCGAUUGAAUGGUCCGGUGAAAUCUUCGGAUUGAGACUUUGAUUUCUUCACGGAAAACGCUGUUUUAAAAAGUUGAUUAAACCUUACCAUUUAGAGGAAGGUGAAGUCGUAACA
rnacentral:rRNA from 1 species